GGUAUAAUAGCUCAGGGGUAGAUCAUGUGCUUAGCAUGCACAGGGUCCUGGGUUCAAUCCCCAGUACCU
rnacentral:tRNA from 1 species